GACGAACGCUGGCGGCGUGCUUAACACAUGCAAGUCGAACGAUGAUGCCCAGCUUGCUGGGCGGAUUAGUGGCGAACGGGUGAGUAACACGUGAGUAACCUGCCCUUGACUUCGGGAUAACUCCGGGAAACCGGGGCUAAUACCGGAUAUGAGCCGUCCUCGCAUGGGGGUGGUUGGAAAGUUUUUCGGUCAGGGAUGGGCUCGCGGCCUAUCAGCUUGUUGGUGGGGUGAUGGCCUACCAAGGCGACGACGGGUAGCCGGCCUGAGAGGGCGACCGGCCACACUGGGACUGAGACACGGCCCAGACUCCUACGGGAGGCAGCAGUGGGGAAUAUUGCACAAUGGGCGAAAGCCUGAUGCAGCGACGCUGCGUGAGGGAUGAAGGCCUUCGGGUUGUAAACCUCUUUCAGCAGGGAAGAAGCGCAAGUGACGGUACCUGCAGAAGAAGCGCCGGCUAACUACGUGCCAGCAGCCGCGGUAAUACGUAGGGCGCAAGCGUUGUCCGGAAUUAUUGGGCGUAAAGAGCUCGUAGGCGGUUUGUCGCGUCUGGUGUGAAAACUCGAGGCUCAACCUCGAGCUUGCAUCGGGUACGGGCAGACUAGAGUGCGGUAGGGGAGACUGGAAUUCCUGGUGUAGCGGUGGAAUGCGCAGAUAUCAGGAGGAACACCGAUGGCGAAGGCAGGUCUCUGGGCCGCAACUGACGCUGAGGAGCGAAAGCAUGGGGAGCGAACAGG
rnacentral:rRNA from 1 species